AACGGCAGCACGGACUUCGGUCUGGUGGCGAGUGGCGAACGGGUGAGUAACAUAUCGGAACGUAUCCAAUAAUGGGGGAUAACUAAUCGAAAGGUUGGCUAAUACCGCAUACGCCCUACGGGGGAAAGCUAGGGACCUUCGGGCCUGGCGUUAAUGGAGCGGCCGAUAUCUGAUUAGCUAGUUGGUGAGGUAAAGGCUCACCAAGGCGACGAUCAGUAGCUGGUCUGAGAGGACGACCAGCCACACUGGAACUGAGACACGGUCCAGACUCCUACGGGAGGCAGCAGUGGGGAAUUUUGGACAAUGGGCGCAAGCCUGAUCCAGCCAUUCCGCGUGAGUGAAGAAGGCCUUCGGGUUGUAAAGCUCUUUCGCAAGGGAAGAAAACUUAUCCUCUAACAUAGGAUGAGGUUGACGGUACCUUGAUAAGAAGCACCGGCUAACUACGUGCCAGCAGCCGCGGUAAUACGUAGGGUGCGAGCGUUAAUCGGAAUUACUGGGCGUAAAGCGUGCGCAGGCGGUUUUGUAAGUCAGAUGUGAAAUCCCCGAGCUCAACUUGGGAACUGCGUUUGAAACUACAAGACUAGAAUAUGUCAGAGGGGGGUAGAAUUCCACGUGUAGCAGUGAAAUGCGUAGAGAUGUGGAGGAAUACCAAUGGCGAAGGCAGCCCCCUGGGAUAAUAUUGACGCUCAUGCACGAAAGCGUGGGGAGCAAACAGGAUUAGAUACCCUGGUAGUCCACGCCCUAAACGAUGUCUACUAGUUGUUGGUGGAGUAAAAUCCAUGAGUAACGCAGCUAACGCGU
rnacentral:rRNA from 1 species